AUGCCUGGAGCCCUUGAUGUCCUGCAGAUGAAGAAGGAGGAUGUCCUUAAAUGCCUUGUGGUAGGAACGCACUUAGAUGGCACCAACCUUGACUCUCAGAAGGAGCAGUACAUCUAAAAAGGAAAAGGGACAAUAUCUACAUCAUAAAUCUGAAGGGGACCUGGGAGAGGAUGCUGCUUACAGCUCCAGCUCUUGUUGCCACUGAGAACCCUGCUGACGUCAGCGUCAUCUCCUCCAGGAACACAGGCCAGCGAGCUGUGCUGAACUUUGCUGCUGCCACAGGAGCCACUCCAAUCGCUGGCCGCUUCACACGUGGGACCUUCACUAACCAGAUCCAAGCAGCCUUCAGGGAGCCACGGCUUCUAGGGGUGACUGAUCCCAGGGCUGACCACCAGUAACUCACAGUGGCCUCUUAUGUCAAUCUGCCCACCAUUGCUCUGUGUAGCACAGAUUCUCCCCUGCGCUAUGUGGACAUUGCCAUGCCAUGCAACAAGGGAGCUCACUCAGUGGGUCUGAUGUGGUGGAUGCUGGCCCGGGAAGUACUCCUCAUGCCAGGUUCUAUCUCCCAUUGAGCACCCAUGGGAGGUCAUGCCUGAUCUUUUCUUCCACAGAGACCCAGAGGAGAUUGAGGAGGGGCAGCCUGCUGAGAAGGCUAUGACCAAGGAGGAAUUUUAGGGCUAACGGACCACACCAGCUCCUGAGUUCACUGCUGCUCAGCCUGAGGUGGCCGACUGGUCUGAGGGUGUGCAGGUUCCCUCUGUGCCUAUCCAGCAGUUCCCCCGCGGAAGCCUGGAGAGCACAGCCAGCCACUGAGGACUGGUCAGCAGCUCCCACAGAACAGGCCACCGAGUGGGUUGGAGCCACCACUGAGUGGUCCUGA
rnacentral:lncRNA from 1 species